AGCGCACUCUUCGGAGUGAGCGGCGGACGGGUUAGUAACGCGUGGGAAUAUACCCUUCACUACGGAAUAGCCUCGGGAAACUGAGAGUAAUACCGUAUACGCCCUUCGGGGGAAAGAUUUAUCGGUGAUGGAUUAGCCCGCGUCUGAUUAGAUAGUUGGUGGGGUAACGGCCUACCAAGUCGACGAUCAGUAGCUGGUUUGAGAGGAUGAUCAGCAACACUGGGACUGAGACACGGCCCAGACUCCUACGGGAGGCAGCAGUGGGGAAUCUUAGACAAUGGGCGAAAGCCUGAUCUAGCCAUGCCGCGUGAGUGACGAAGGCCCUAGGGUCGUAAAGCUCUUUCGCCAGGGAUGAUAAUGACAGUACCUGGUAAAGAAACCCCGGCUAACUCCGUGCCAGCAGCCGCGGUAAUACGGAGGGGGUUAGCGUUGUUCGGAAUUACUGGGCGUAAAGCGUACGUAGGCGGAUUGGAAAGUAUGGGGUGAAAUCCCAGGGCUCAACCCUGGAACUGCCCUGUAAACUAUCAUCUAGAGUUCGAGAGAGGUGAGUGGAAUUCCCAGUGUAGAGGUGAAAUUCGUAGAUUNUUGGAGGAACACC
rnacentral:rRNA from 1 species